rnacentral:rRNA from 1 species
UAAAUCAGUUAUGGUUCACUAGAUCGUACAGUUUACACGGAUAACUGUGGUAAUUCUAGAGCUAAUACGUGCAACCAGCUUACUCCCUUGUGGAGUAAGCGCAGUUAUUAGAACAAAACCAAUCCGGCCUUCGGGUCGGUAAAAUUGGUGACUCUGAAUAACCGAAGCGGAGCGCAUGGUCUCGUACCGGCGCCAGAUCUUUCAAGUGUCUGACUUAUCAGCUUGUUGUUAGGUUAUGUUCCUAACAAGGCUUCAACGGGUAACGGGGUAUCAGGGUCCGAUACCGGAGAGGGAGCCUGAGAAACGGCUACCACAUCCAAGGAAGGCAGCAGGCGCGCAAAUUACCCACUCCCGGCACGGGGAGGUAGUGACGAAAAAUAACGAUGCGAGAGCUCUAAGCUCCUCGUAAUCGGAAUGGGUACACUUUAAAUCCUUUAACGAGGAUCUAUUGGAGGGCAAGUCUGGUGCCAGCAGCCGCGGUAAUUCCAGCUCCAAUAGCGUAUAUUAAAGUUGCUGCGGUUAAAAAGCUCGUAGUUGGAUCUGGGUAGCUGGAUAGAUGGUAUGCUUAACUGUGUUACUGUCUGUUCGGCGCCACAAGCCGGUAUGUCUUGCAUGCUCUUCACUGGGUGUGCUUGGCGACCGGAACGUUUACUUUGAAAAAAUUAGAGUGCUCAAAGCAGGCGUACGGCCUUGCAUAAUGGUGCAUGGAAUAAUGGAAUAGGACCUCGGUUCUAUUUUGUUGGUUUUCGGAACUCGAGGUAAUGAUUAAUAGGAACAGACGGGGGCAUUCGUAUUGCGGCGUUAGAGGUGA